rnacentral:rRNA from 1 species
GAUGAACGCUGGCGGCGUGCCUAAUACAUGCAAGUCGAGCGAACAGACGCGGAGCUUGCGCCUCUGACGUUAGCGGCGGACGGGUGAGUAACACGUGGAUACCCUCCCUAUAAGACUGGGAUCACUUCGGGAAUCCGGAGCUAAUCCCGGAUAAUAUAUUGAACCGCAUGGUUCAAUAGUGAAAGACGGUUUUGCUGUCACUUAUAGAUGGAUCCGCGCCGCAUUAGCUAGUUGGUAAGGUAACGGCUUACCAAGGCGACGAUGCGUAGCCGACCUGCGAGGGUGGUCGGCCACACGAGAACUGAGACAGGGACCAGAGUCCUACGGGAGGCAGCAGUAGGGUACCUUCCGCAAUGGGCGAGAGCUUGACGGAGCAACGCCGCGUGAGUGAUGAAGGUCUUCGGAUCGUAAAACUCUGUUACUAGGGAAGAACAAAUGUGUAAGUAACUAUGCACGUCUUGACGGUACCUAAUAAGAAAGCCACGGCUAACUACGUG